rnacentral:lncRNA from 1 species
AUGGAUGGAAAUGGUGUUGAAUUUGGAAUGAGACAUAGAAAAGAGAUAGGCGUAUUGUUCGUUUUCGAGAUAUCAGUUCACCAACUCGAUUCAACGUGUGCUCCCUUCAACCUAGAAAUCUUCCAGAAGAGUAACAAGAGUCCUAAGUUGUCCCUUAUUCAGAAAGACUUGCAGCACAGAGAACUUGAAGAAAAAAAAAUUCUUCCAGGCUCCCUUCUUCUUCUUCUCUCCUUCCAUGACCUCUCAUCAGAAAGAUAUCCAUCGAUGGCUUCCAUCAGACAGCAUGUCCUUUGGAUAAGGAAAGGAGUAAGCAAAUAAUCUGAGGUCCAGAACAGGCCUGUCAGCCAGAGAGGGAAGCAUCUUUAUCUGGAGUUUGACACCAGAGAAGACCAGGAGAGGCUGCACUGAUGGAGGAGGGUUUGGGAGAGUCGGUGGAUUCGAAGAGACUGGAGACCCGUCCAAAUCCUAACCACCCUCACCAAAAAGACAAUAAACUACACGGAGUCCACUUUAAACCA